CCUUUACCCCCCUCCAUUUUCACAUCAACAAUAGAGAGGAGUGAUGUUAAAGGGUUCAUUUAGAAUCCUACUCUCACAAUGGGACAGUUCUAAAAAUAGUUUUGUUCUAUUUUAAAGACAUAAGAAAAGAGAUGGAAGAGGGAGAGGAUACAUAAGGAAAAAUGAACAAAAAAAGAGAGGAGAACUUGUUAAGGUGCAUUUUCAGAAUGUGCAAGUAGACCUAUAUGCAAAUAUGAAAGGGGUGAAGAGAGUGGGUACCACGUGAUUUGAUAUUCAUCCUAAUUGAUCAGAAGAGACCAGAACACAUACACAAACAGGGACAUACAACAGAAGGGUGAAGCUGAAAUAUAUUCAACUCAAUAGAGAUAUGUAGUCAGGAACAAGAAGAGGAUAAGGUGGAAUGUAAGAGGGAAGUAGGAAACAGCUGGAUUAUCAUCUCUGCUUUGGCAUUCAAUCUGUUGAGCUAUGUUGCUUUGAUUAAAGUUUAUGAAGAAAAUCUGGCCUCAUACAGAGAUGAAGUUGGGAAAGAGAAGAGGAUUUUAAAAGACCAUUUCUUCCUCCAUAGUCCAUGAAGAAGGCUACUCAUUACCAUGUAAUUAAACAGUCUAGAACAAAUUACAGACCGUCUGUGUAAGUUCCAAAAUCCAUCUGGGGAUUGCACCAGUUGAGCACUAAACACAUGCUCAUAAGGAUAGAGAGCAUUAGCUAGUUCUCCAUUUCAAUAACAUUGUAGACUUUUCUAAAGAAUUGAAGUCAAGUUUCCUGGUUUCUCCUUUGAAAAUGCCAUUCUUGUCUCCUUUCCCUCUUUUUGUUUUAAUUGGGACAACAUGUGUUCCUCUUCCAGUCUUUCAAAUGUCAAUGAGUUAGUAAUUCUAUGAAUCAGUUCUUUGAGUGCCUGGUGAUGCAGUUAUUUGGACCAGGAACUGGUGAAUUCUAUUGAUACACACACCUCAUUUUUUAUGUCUUUUAUUCUGGUUGCAUCUGAUCCUUAUGGGCUUCAUUAAACAGCUGGUGUCCAAAUAGGUUUCAUUCAUUGUAAAGAUGCUACUCUAAAUGCAUGAGGAGACAAGCUUCACAUAAUGUACUCUCUACAUAUUUUUAAAAAUGCUGGUUAAUAAGAGAAAAAAAAAAGAAAAUGCCUAGAGUUGGGAAAUGGAAUUUCUAGUUCAUAGAACAAUUCAUAGAAUUCCAGGAAGGUAAGUGUUAUUGAAUUGCAGAAUAUAGGGGUGGUUAAGGUGUAAGAAGACUGGAAAAAUCAGGCAGAAGUCAGGUCAUGAAGAACUUUGAGUGUCAGAAUAUUUUAUCCUGAAUCCUGAAGGUGAUAGGGAGCCCCUGGGGUUUACUGAAUAGAGAGGAGAGACAAGGUUGGACACAGACUGUAG
rnacentral:lncRNA from 1 species